rnacentral:lncRNA from 1 species
UGAAAAAAAGAAUGACAAGACAUCAUUCAGCAAUGUAAAUAAUGACAUAUAUGAUGUUAAUAAAGUUAAUAAAUCUGAUUCAAAUAGUAAUACUGACUUGGCAUGGACAAAUGUUGAGUUGCUAAACAACGGCGUGUUAGAUGAUGAUAAUAAUAGUAACAACAAUAGUAACAUGAAAGAUAGUAGUAACAAUAAUAAUAAUGAUAAUAAUAGUAAUAAAGACAAAAAUAUUAUUUCGAAGUAUGGACUAGUUAGGCAUAAUAGCGAUGACAGUGUUAAUGCCAAAAGUAAUGAUAAGCAAACGGUUAAUACAAAAGAAAGCAUUAUUAUUGAUAACAUUAAUGAUAGUAUAAAUAAUAAAAAUAAAAAUUCUGACAUAUUUUUAUCAAAUAUUAAUGAAUCUUUUGUUGACUUAUUAACAUCUAAUGACAAUAGUAAUAAUAAUAAAAAUACAUGUAAUGUUAAUAAAUCAAAUGAUGUUUUUGAUAAUGUAAAUAGUAUGUGUAAUAAAAGAAAACACAAAGAAACAGGUAUUAAUUGUAUUUAUACAGAAAUAAAUGAUGUAAAUGUUUUGACUCUUAGUAAUAACUUGCCUAUUUCUGAUAUUGAAAAUAAUACAAAUAAACCAAUAUAUAAUGAUUCAAGUAAAAAUAAUAUAAGACAUGGUAGCAACAAUGACAAUCAUAAUGACAAUCAUAAUGACAAUCACAAUAUGAGUAAUGUCACAUUUUUAAAUGACAACAUUUGUAAUGAUACUUAUAAUGAAAUAAACGACGAAAGUAGUAUCGAUGUGCAUACAAAGUCAUAUGAAGCAACAAUAAAUAAGAAUUUAUAUUCAAACAAUAGAAAUAUGUUUUUAAAAAAAGAAGAAGAACAUAAAAUAAUUAAUAAAAACGUAAUCGUAAAUGAUCAUAGCAUAUCUUGCAUACACAAUUAUAAUAAUAGUAAUAAUAAUAAUAAUAAUAAUGAUGACAAUAAUAUAUUGAAAAAAAGAAAAACAUAUAAUAUGUAUGAUAAAGAUGAUGAAAAAAAUAACUUUUUGAGUGAUAAAAAUAUAAACAGCUUACCACUAUCACUUGUUAAUAAAAAAGUAAAAUAUAAUAGCUUAAUGAAUAUAAAUAUAAAUAAUUCUACUUUGUGUACAAAAGAAAAUGAAAUUAUAAAUAAAAAUGAAAAAAUUUUCACAUGUCAUGAUGAAAAUAUGUUUAACAUGUUAGACAGUAUUAACAAAAACAGAGAGGAUGAUAUAGACGUAGAUCAACCGUUAAAAGGAUGUAACAUAAUUGAUGAUGUUAAUGAUAACGAUAGUGCUAGCAAUGUUAGUUAUAACACUUGUGCAAGUAACUACGAGAAUCAUAACAUAUACAGUAGUAAUAAUGUUAACUAUAGUAUGGAUACAGAAAUGAAAGAACAAACUAAAUUACAAGGUAUUGUUGAAAAUAAUUUAGAUAUAGAUAUGGAAAAAAAUACAGAAGAAAUAAAUACAGAAGAAAUAAAUACAGAAGAAAUAAAUACAGAAGAAAUAAAUACAGCAGAAAUAAAUACAGAAGAAAUAAAUACAACAGAAAUAAGUACAGCAGAAAUAAAUAAAAAUUCGGAUACAAUUGGUAAUGAUAUGUAUAUAAAAAAAAUUGAAUCCAUAAUUAAAAAUGGAGUAGUUAAACAGCUAGAAAAAGAACAAAAUAAAAAAGACAUUAUAAAUGAUAGAUCUAUUGAUUAUAGAAGCAUAUCACUAGAAGUAGAAGGGUUAAGCGAAGUGGUGGAUUCAGAAACAGGCGAUGAUAAGAAAGUAUUAAAUAGUGUUGAUCAUGAAGUUGUAACUGAUAGUUAUCACAAAAUUCAGAAUGAGGAGUUGAAUAAUAAUACAAAAGUGUUGGGUAGUAGCUUAAAAGAAUCACUGGAAAGUGAUAUAGUAUCAAGUUGUAAUGUCAAAAAUAAUCAAACUACUAAUUUUAUGGAUAUACAUAAUGAGAAUAUAAACAAUGUUGUUGUAGAUGUAAAAAAUGUGAAUAAUAAAAUAUCAAAUUAUGACAUGAAAAAUGAAUUAAAUUAUAUACACACAAGCACUGCUACCGCUCUUACUAACGAUUCUGCGUCUCCUAUUAGUGGCUCUGCAUCUCCUAUCAAUGAUUGUCACAACGACAGUAGUAACAUCAACGGUAGUAGUAAAACUAGUAGUAGUAGUAGUAGUAGUAAAAAAAGUAGUAAUAAAAAAAGUAGUAACAACAAAAGUAACAACAAAAGUAACAACAAUUAUAGUACUUAUUAUGACGAAGAAGAAGCAAUAACAGGGACAUGUUCCAGAAUGGAAGACGAAGAAGAAACAGAAUUUGGUUACACAACUAACAAGUAUAUACAGUGGUUUGAUACAAUUUAUACUGUAUGUUUUAAAUUAGAUGAUUUAUGUUGCAAAUUAAGUAGCAGUUUCCCACACUCAAUGAGCAUAUGGGAAAAUAGUGGAAAGACAAAUAUGUACGAAUUAAAAUCACUUUUUCAUAAAAAUUAUGCAAAGAAUAGUAAUAGUGGUACAUGUAAUAGGACAAGUCAAAUUAAUUCCAACCACAAACAUAUACCUCAUGAAGAUAUAAACCAUGACACCUGUAAUUAUAGUAACAAGUGUUACUACGAUGAAAAUGACAAUGACAAUAAUUAUAAUAACUCUGUUUUGUGUGCAAAAGGAGAAGGGGGAAGAGAAGUAAUAGAUCAAAACAAUUAUUUUAUGAAAUGUGGUCGUAAUAAUAAUGAAAAUCGUAUAAACAAUAUGAACGAUGUUAGUACUAAACCUUAUAAUUUAAAAAAUAUGUAUUUAAAAAAAAAUUCAGAUAAUCAUUCAAAUAAUAUGAAUAACUCUAAACAUUGUUUUGGUUAUACUAAACAUGAUAAUAUAUUUAGAACAAAAGGAAACAAAAAUAACAACAGUAGUAGUCAUGGAAAUACUGGUAAAAGUGUUAACAUAAAGAAUGAUUAUAUACCUAACGAUUUUAAUAUGUAUGACAAUCAUAACAUAAAAAACUUAGCUCAAGAAGAAAAUGAUAUAAUUUACAAUAACAGUAGUAAUAAAGUCAGUUGUCAUGUUAGUAGUAACAGUAGCAGUUAUAGUAAUAGCACUAAUAAUGAUAAUAAUAAUAAUAAUAAUAACAAUCUUAUUAAUAAAAUGAAAAAUUUUAAUAGCAUAAAUCAUCAAGAUGAUCAUAUAGUUAAUGACUUAAUUAAUAAAAACAAAUAUGAUUUGUUACAGUUGUAUAAUAAUAGUAAUGGUAGUAAUAAUAAUGGUUGUAUAUACAAUGGAAAUGGAAAUAACAUGAACAAUGAAAAUGAUAAUUACGAACAAAAAAAAAAAAAUUAUAAUACUCAAUCAAAUUUAAUAUAUAACAAAUAUAUGAUAAACAAUAAUAGCAAUAAUAAUGAUGAUUUAUCAAAUAAUAGUAUUAAAAAAAAUAAUAAGAACUUACCUACUUUUUAUGAUAAUAAUUUAAAAGUUGCCAAUUCGAAUUUAGGUACUUAUAUAAUUGAUAGGAAUAUGAAACUAAUGCAAAAUAAUAAUGAACGAAUGGGAUACAACAAUAAUAUGGAAUAUAUUGGAUAUGACUUAGAAAAUCAUACUUUUUAUAAAGGCAAUAGUGGUAGUAGUAAUAAUAAUAAUAUGGUUAGUAGUAGUAGUAGUAAUAAUAAUAAUAAAAAAAAAAAAAUAAUGAAAAAAAAUACUAUUGGUGGUAAUUCUACAUCUAACAUACAUGGUAAUAAAAUUAUAGAAAAAAAGACAUCUAAAAAGAAUGGAAAUAAGAAUGACAGUAAUAAUAAUAAUAAAAUUAGUAGUAAUAGUAGUAAUACAAGUAAAAAUACAGUACCAUCUGUAAAUAGUAAUAACACUAGUUAUACUAAUACCACAACAAGUAGUAAUAGUUAUAAUAAUAAAGUAAUAAAAAGUGAAAGUGAGUAUGAAUAUUUACUUAAGUUAUCAGAUAGGUAUGGACCAGAUCUAGAUAAUCCAGAUGAUUUGAAAUGUGAUGUUGCUGGAGUAUAUUGGGAUAAAAGGAGUUGGAUAGCAUCAUGGUAUGAAAAUGGUAGACGUUAUUAUAAAUCUUUUUCAGCUAAAACUCAUGGGUUUUACAAGUCGAAAUUUUGGGCUAUAAAAGUAAGACUAUCAAAAGUAAAAAGUCAAACGAUUUCACCUAAAAAUUGUAAAAAAAAUAAAACAAACUCAGUUUCGGCUGUUAACAUUACCAGUGUUACACCGAGCGAAGCUUUCCCGCAAAAUGAAGCGACAAUAACAGAUGAUGUACUAAUAUCAGACAAUGUUGCUAUAAAAAAAGAUAUUAUUACAAAUGAUACCAUUAAAAAGGAUGUUACUAAAAAUGAUGUUAUUAAAAAUGAUAUUAUUAAAAAUGAUGUUAUUAAAAAUGAUGUUAUUAAAAAUGAUGUUACUACCGUGGGAAGUACUAACAGCACAACUAGUUUUACAAAUUAUAGCAACUCCAAUAACAACAUGUUGAAUCAUGUUAAUUCAUAUCCAAAUCCGAUAACUGCUGAAAACAUUGAUAAUAAUGAUAAUACCACUAAAAAUAACAACAGAAACGUGGUUACUAGUAAUAUAUAAACUUUCGAAUUAUGAGUAUUUGUGUAUACACAUAUAUACAUAUAUUAUACAUAUAUACACAUAGUGAAAAAAUUGCGCUUUAGCACUAACAGCGCUACAUUAUAUUAAUUCCGAAAUAAAAAUUUAAUAUAAAAGAAGUAGACUUAAAAC